GGACAACGCAGCAGCACCAGAUUAGAAAAACGCAACAGCUACAAAUAGCAGCAGCACGCCAGCACUGUACAGCGACAACAAGAGCAAGUCGAAAUUGAGAUCAAAGAAUAAGCGAAAGAGGGCCGUGGAAGGGUGGGAGAUCGGAGAGAGCAUACGUUUGCUAGCUGAAGUAGUGGUAAGGUCAGAGCAAGCACGAAUGGAGACGAUGAGAGACAUCGAGAGAAUGAGAGCAGAAGCUGAGGCCAAAAGAGGAGAAAUGGAUCUCAAGAGAACGGAGAUCAUUGCCAACACUCAGCUUGAGAUUGCUAAGCUCUUUGCUAGUAUUACCAAAGGAUCAGUUGACUCUUCAUUGAGAAUUGGAAGAAGUUCAUCAUGAGCUAGAAAAUAAUAAUAAUACUCUAGCUAGCUGUGGAAAUAGAAAUUACCUUGUUAUCAUCUUUUAAUUUGAUGAUGAUAUCCUUCUUGACCCAGCCACUACCUAAUUA
rnacentral:misc_RNA from 1 species